GUUUGUUUGUAGAUAUAAAGAAUCUAGCCUGCCCCCUGAUAAAAUUAAUUAAAGGGCCGCAGUAUUAUAACUGUGCAAAGGUAGCAUAAUCAUUAGGUCUUUAAUUAGGAUCUUGUAUGAAUGGUUGGACAAAAGGAAAUCUCUCUUUAUAUUAGUUUUUGAAUUUAACUUUUAAGUGAGAAGGCUUAAAUAUUCUAAGGGGACGAUAAGACCCUAUAAAACUUUACAUUAUGAUUUAAUUUAUCUAAAUUUGAAUAUAAAAGUUUAAUUUGAUUAUUUGUUAUAUUGGGGAGAUAUAGGUAAAUUUUAUUUUAACUGCUUAAAUAUUUAAACAAUUAUUAAUGGGGCAUAACUGAUCCUUUUUAAAGAUUAAUAGAUUAAGUUACUUUAGGGAUAACAGCGUAAUUUCUUUUAAGAGUCCUUAUCGAAAAGGAAGAUUGCGACCUCGAUGUUGAAUUAAAAUAUCUGUAUAAUGUAGAGGUUAUAUAAGAAGGUCUGUUCGACCUUUAAAAUUUUACAUGAUUUGAGUUCAAACCGGCGUGAG
rnacentral:rRNA from 1 species